GCGGAUCGUUAUUGCACGGCGGAUUUUCACUGUCCUCCUGAGGACUCAUAGUGCUGUAGCCGUGGUCGCUCUCCGUUCCUGAUCGACCCCAGUAUCGGCGUCUGCGUUCUGGGCUGUGGGCAUGCCGCUCUAUUACUGCUGCUAUGAAUCGGGUGUUACUGAUGAUUCCUCUGUCUUCAUGGCUGUCGUCGUCUCUCUCAUCCCUGUCGUUCUCCAGGUUCGACAUACGCACUGACAUCUCCUGUGCUGCCAGAGGUGACAUGUGCUGGU
rnacentral:lncRNA from 1 species